UAAACAGACAAAUGGAAAUCCAGCCUGCCCAUUGUUAGAUUCAGUGAGCUUAAGUGCGAUCUCACAGUAAGCAGUUCUUUUCAAAAGCUCUUCAAACGCACAGCCACAUCUUCAGUUUGAAAUGAAGUUAGUUGGAUUGUUAUUAUUGUUCGUCAUCAACGCUGACUUCACAUCAAGUUGCGGGAUAUCCGGUAAAAAUAAAUCUGAUAUUGAAUGCAAACGUGAUGAGGACUGUAAAAGUCAUGAAUCUUGCGUUGAAGUAUAUGCUUUGGACAAGACAAAAUAUUGCCGUCGCUAUGGGUAAGAUAUAACUGAUAAAGGAACUGUUUGUAUAAACAGAUAAAUAUGAGUAAAAAUGU